rnacentral:rRNA from 1 species
AAUGAACGCUGGCGGCGUGCUUAACACAUGCAAGUCGAACGGAAUCCAAGGAGCUUGCUCUGGAAGAUUUAGUGGCGAACGGGUGAGUAUCACGUGAGCAACCUGCCCCGAAGACUGGGAGUAACACCGGGAAACCGGUAGCUAAUACCGGAUGUCCUCUUUUAUUCGCAUGAUGAGAAGAGGAAAUAGUUUUUCGUCUCGGGUAGGGGCGUCGCGGUCCAUCAGCUUGUUGGCGGGGUAACGGCCCACCAAGGCUACGACGGAUAGCUGGUCUGAGAGGACGAUCAGCCACACUGGGAACUGAGACACGGUCCAGACUCCUACGGGAGGGCAGCAGUGGGGAAGUCUUGCGCAAUGGGCGGAAAGCCUGACGCAGCAACGCCGCGUGAGGGAC